rnacentral:rRNA from 1 species
AAACCAACAGGGAUUGCCUCAGUAACGGCGAGUGAAGCGGCAAAAGCUCAAAUUUGAAACCCUCGGGAUUGUAAUUUGAAGAUGGCAUUGAGAAAGCUAACCCAAGUUGCUUGGAAUAGUACGUCAUAGAGGGUGACAACCCCGUCUGGCUAACCGUUCUCCAUGUAUUGCCUUAUCAAAGAGUCGAGUUGUUUGGGAAUGCAGCUCAAAGUGGGUGGUAAACUCCAUCUAAAGCUAAAUACUGGUGAGAGACCGAUAGCGAACAAGUACUGUGAAGGAAAGGUGAAAAGAACUUUGAAAAGAGAGUGAAAUAGUAUGUGAAAUUGUUGAUAGGGAAGGAAAUGAGUGGAGAGUGGCCGAGGUUUCAGCCGCCCCUCGUGGGCGGUGUACUGCCGACGCCGAGUCAUCGAUAGCGAGACGAGGGUUACAAAUGGGAGCGCCUUUCGGGCGUUCUCCCCUAACCCUCCAACACUGCCACCGACGACAUAAUCCACCCAUUUCACCCGUCUUGAAACACGGACCA